AAAAAAUUCCUUCUUGACCCCAAAAUAGCAGUCAGAUGUCUCCUUGGAUCAAGCAGCUAUUACCCCACUAAUUAGAAAUGAAAUCCCUGUAUGUUAUGUUUUUGCAAGUAUUUAUCCAAUUGCAGUUUAAACAUCUGUAUAGACAAAACCACCUCUUCAGGCAGAGAAUUCCAUAUCCUUAUUGCUCUUACUGUAAAAAAAAAACCUUUUCUUUGCC